UACGUAGGGGGGCAAGCGUUGUCCGGAUUUAUUGGGCGUAAAGAGCGUGUAGGCGGCCAGACAGGUCAGCUGUGAAAACUCGAGGCUCAACCUCGAGACGUCGGUUGAAACCGUCUGGCUAGAGUCCGGAAGAGGAGAGUGGAAUUCCCCGGUGUAGCGGUGAAAUGCGCAGAUAUCAGGAGGAACACCGGUGGCGAAGGCGGGGUCUCUGGGCCGAUACUGACGCUGGAGGAGCGAAAGCGUGGGGAGCGAACAGG
rnacentral:rRNA from 1 species